CAACUCUCAACAACGGAUAUCUUGGCUCCCGUAUCGAUGAAGAACGCAGCGAAAUGCGAUACGUAGUGUGAAUUGCAGAAUUCCGUGAACCAUCGAAUCUUUGAACGCAACUUGCGCCCGCGGCUUCGGCCAAGGGCAUGUCUGCCUCAGCGUCGG
rnacentral:rRNA from 1 species